GAUGAACGCUAGCGGCAGGCUUAACACAUGCAAGUCGAGGGGUAGAGGAAGCUUGCUUCCUUGAGACCGGCGCACGGGUGCGUAACGCGUAUGCAACCUACCUUGUACAGGGGGAUAGCCCAGAGAAAUUUGGAUUAAUACCCCAUAGUAUUAUUGAAUGGCAUCAUUUGAUUAUUAAAGUUCCAACGGUACAAGAUGAGCAUGCGUCCCAUUAGCUAGUUGGUGUGGUAACGGCAUACCAAGGCGACGAUGGGUAGGGGUCCUGAGAGGGAGAUCCCCCACACUGGUACUGAGACACGGACCAGACUCCUACGGGAGGCAGCAGUGAGGAAUAUUGGUCAAUGGGCGCAAGCCUGAACCAGCCAUGCCGCGUGCAGGAUGACGGUCCUAUGGAUUGUAAACUGCUUUUGUACAGGAAGAAACACUCCCUCGUGAGGGAGCUUGACGGUACUGUAAGAAUAAGGAUCGGCCAACUCCGUGCCAGCCGCCGCCGUAAGAC
rnacentral:rRNA from 1 species